AGUGGCGAACGGGUGAGUAACACGUGGGUGAUCUGCCCUGCACUUUGGGAUAAGCCUGGGAAACUGGGUCUAAUACCGAAUACACCUCUGGGGUUGCAUGACUUUGGGGGGAAAGCUUUUGCGGUGUGGGAUGGGCCCGCGGCCUAUCAGCUUGUUGGUGAGGUUAUGGCUCACCAAGGCGACGACGGGUAGCCGGCCUGAGAGGGUGUCCGGCCACACUGGGACUGAGAUACGGCCCAGACUCCUACGGGAGGCAGCAGUGGGGAAUAUUGCACAAUGGGCGCAAGCCUGAUGCAGCGACGCCGCGUGAGGGAUGACGGCCUUCGGGUUGUAAACCUCUUUCGCCAGGGACGAAGCGCAAGUGACGGUACCUGGAGAAGAAGCACCGGCCAACUACGUGCCAGCAGCCGCGGUAAUACGUAGGGUGCGAGCGUUGUCCGGAAUUACUGGGCGUAAAGAGCUCGUAGGUGGUUUGUCGCGUUGUUCGUGAAAACUCACAGCUUAACUGUGGGCGUGCGGGCGAUACGGGCAGACUGGAGUACUGCAGGGGAGACUGGAAUUCCUGGUGUAGCGGUGGAAUGCGCAGAUAUCAGGAGGAACACCGGUGGCGAAGGCGGGUCUCUGGGCNGUAACUGACGCUGAGGAGCGAAAGCGUGGGGAGCGAACAGGAUUAGAUACCCUGGUAGUCCACGCCGUAAACGGUGGGUACUAGGUGUG
rnacentral:rRNA from 1 species